UACGAAGGGGGCUAGCGUUGCUCGGAAUCACUGGGCGUAAAGGGUGCGUAGGCGGGUUUUUAAGUCAGGGGUGAAAUCCUGGAGCUCAACUCCAGAACUGCCUUUGAUACUGAAAAUCUUGAGUCCGGGAGAGGUGAGUGGAACUGCGAGUGUAGAGGUGAAAUUCGUAGAUAUUCGGAAGAACACCAGUGGCGAAGGCGGGUUGCUGGGCUGAUACUGACGCUGAGGCGCGAAAGCCAGGGGAGCGAACGGG
rnacentral:rRNA from 1 species